AUGCGUCCUGCCUCUCCAGUCCCGCGACAGUCGCCGCAGUCACGGAGCGCACGUCGGGAAACCUCUCAGCCUCAUCUGUAAAAUGUGAUCAUAAAUACCGGGUACCUGGAAGUGCUCGAUGAGGAAAUUUGCCCAAGGUGACAGAAAUCAGGAUUCAAGCCCAGGCUGCUGGCUCCCAAGACCAUACUCUUUCUCCACUAUUGUCUAUGGCCUCCACAUUUUUGUUGUAUUUUUGGCAUUUGUUGACUUUGAAGUGUGGGAAGGAUUUGAGAGGCAGAGAAAAGGCACUUUGGGAACAACGUGAACCAAAACACGAGAGGUUUGCAGCUGCAUUAUCAUAAUAGCUCCUAUUUGUGAGGGUUUAGUGCAACUAGCCUUUUAAUGUAUAAUUUCAACCCCAGCAAUUCAUAUUAUGUAAGAAUUUUUUUUUUUUUUUUUGAGAUGGAGUUUCGCUCUGGUUGCUCAGGCUGGAGAGCAAUAGCGCAAUCUUGGCUCACCACAACCUCCGCCU
rnacentral:sRNA from 1 species